rnacentral:rRNA from 1 species
GGUGCGCUCAGACCGGUCGGAAAUCGGUCGUAGAGUAUAAAGGCAAAAGCGCGCUUGACUGCGAGACAGACACGUCGAGCAGGUACGAAAGUAGGUCUUAGUGAUCCGGUGGUUCUGUAUGGAAGGGCCAUCGCUCAACGGAUAAAAGGUACUCCGGGGAUAACAGGCUGAUACCGCCCAAGAGUUCAUAUCGACGGCGGUGUUUGGCACCUCGAUGUCGGCUCAUCACAUCCUGGGGCUGAAGCCGGUCCCAAGGGUAUGGCUGUUCGCCAUUUAAAGUGGUACGCGAGCUGGGUUUAGAACGUCGUGAGACAGUUCGGUCCCUAUCUGCCGUGGACGUUUGAGAUUUGAGAGGGGCUGCUCCUAGUACGAGAGGACCGGAGUGGACGAACCUCUGGUGUUCCGGUUGUCACGCCAGUGGCAUUGCCGGGUAGCUAUGUUCGGAAAAGAUAACCGCUGAAAGCAUCUAAGCGGGAAACUUGCCUCAAGAUGAGAUCUCACUGGGAACUUGAUUCCCCUGAAGGGCCGUCGAAGACUACGACGUUGAUAGGCUGGGUGUGUAAGCGUUGUGAGGCGUUGAGCUAACCAGUACUAAUUGCCCGUGAGGCUUGACCAUAUAACACCCAAACA